rnacentral:tRNA from 1 species
GCCCGCGUAGCUCAGUCGGUAGAGCACACCCUUGGUAAGGGUGGGGUCAUGGGUCCAAUUCCCAUCGCGGGCU